AUUGAACGCUGGCGGCAGGCCUAACACAUGCAAGUCGAGCGGAUGAAGGGAGCUUGCUCCUGGAUUCAGCGGCGGACGGGUGAGUAAUGCCUAGGAAUCUGCCUGGUAGUGGGGGAUAACGUCCGGAAACGGGCGCUAAUACCGCAUACGUCCUGAGGGAGAAAGUGGGGGAUCUUCGGACCUCACGCUAUCAGAUGAGCCUAGGUCGGAUUAGCUAGUUGGUGGGGUAAAGGCCUACCAAGGCGACGAUCCGUAACUGGUCUGAGAGGAUGAUCAGUCACACUGGAACUGAGACACGGUCCAGACUCCUACGGGAGGCAGCAGUGGGGAAUAUUGGACAAUGGGCGAAAGCCUGAUCCAGCCAUGCCGCGUGUGUGAAGAAGGUCUUCGGAUUGUAAAGCACUUUAAGUUGGGAGGAAGGGCAGUAACUUAAUACCUUGCUGCUUUGACGUUACCAACAGAAUAAGCACCGGCUAACUUCGUG
rnacentral:rRNA from 1 species